AUAAAGAGUCGGACCUGCCCAGUGAAUCUGUUUAAACGGCCGCGGUACUCUGACCGUGCAAAGGUAGCAUAAUCAUUUGCCUUAUAAUUGAAGGCUGGUAUGAAUGGUUUAACAAGAAUAAAGCUGUCUCUUUAUAAUUAAAUAGAAUUUUAUUUUCAGGUGAAGAAGCCUGAAUUUAAUUAAAAGACAAGAAGACCCUAUCGAGCUUUAAAUAAAUUAAUAGAAUCAUUAUAAUUAAUAGUUAGAAAAGAAACUUCAAAUUAUUUUGGUUGGGGCGACAAAGGAACAUAAAAAGCUUCUUUUUAUCAAAAAUUUAAAACAUAUAGGUAUUUGAUCCAAAGAAUUUUGAUUAAAAGAAUUAGUUACCGUAGGGAUAACAGCAUUAUCUUUUUUGAGAGCUCAUAUCGAAAAAAAGGUUUGUGACCUCGAUGUUGGACCAGAAUAUCCUAAAGAUGCAGAAGUCUUUAAGGGUUGGUCUGUUCGACCAUUAAAAUUCU
rnacentral:rRNA from 1 species